rnacentral:rRNA from 1 species
CAAUAGCGUAUACUAAAGUUGUUGCAGUUAAAAAGCUCGUAGUUGAAUUUCUGGUCGCGAAAGGUGGUCCGUUCCUCACGGAAUGUGUACUGUCCAUUCGUGUCCAUUCUCGGAGUUAGUUUGUAUUACCUUAAUCGGUCGUGCAUACAACCUUCGUCAUUUACUGUGAGCAAAAUAGAGUGUUCAAAGCAGGCUUAUGCCGUUGAAUAUAUUAGCAUGGAAUAAUAAGAUAUGACUUUGGUCUAUUUUGUUGGUUUGCACUCCAAAGUAAUGAUUAAUAGGGGAUAAGUUGGGGGGUAUCGUAUUCUAAUGUCAGAGGUGAAAUUCUUGGAUUUAUGGUAAGACGAACUACUGCGAAAGCAUUUA